UCCAGACAACUGUGAAGGGAGUUCCCAGAA
rnacentral:piRNA from 1 species